GGCUGCGCGUGCGCGCAGGCGGGCUGUGGACCGUGGCCGCCGCCGGAGCCUUUCGCUUGCGGUGAUUCUGGGCUCCCUCGGUUGGCAGUGUUGAUGUGUGCCUGUGAGUUGUGAGCGAGGCAGAUUUCCUCGCGUGGCUGGCACGACCUUCACCUUUGCAGAAGGCAACCGGGACCCUCAAGACAGGAGUCUCACUACGUUGCCUAGGCUGGUCUCCAACUUCUGAGCUCAAGCUAUCCUCCUGUGUCAGCCUCCCAAAGUGCUGGGAUUACAGACGGAAGUACAGUGGUGUGAUCACAGCUCACUGCAGCCUCAGAUGCUUGGACUCAAGUGAUCCGACUGCCUCAGUCUCCCAAGUAGCUGGGAUUACAGGCUGGUAUCAAACUCCUGGACUCAAGCAAUCCUCCUGCCUCAGCCUCCCAAAGUGCUGGAAUUACAGCUCAAGGUCCUCACCAGAAGCAGAUGCAGGUGCCAUGGUCCUUGGACAGCCUGCAGAACCAUCAGCCAAAUAAGCCUCUUCUCUUUAGGAAUUACCCAGCCACAGGGUUUCACUGUCACCUAGGCUGGAGUGACAUCAUCAGAGUUCACUGCAGCCUUGAUCUGCUGGGCUCAAGCCAUCCUCCCACCUAAGCCUCCCGAAGAGCUAAGACCACAGCAAGGAUCAGGCAUUGUAACAGUCUCAUGAAGUUGUGAAGAUUAAACGAAGUGACACAUGUGAAUCAUUGAGGACAAUGCUGGGCAAAUAAUGCAGAGAUUCUUUUCUGCAGCUCAGACACCAGCCAGAAGAGACACUUUUGGAUCCAUUCUGAUUCUUGUGAACCCAAUAAGCAUUCUUAAGCUGUGCUGGAUAUGACAAAGCCCCUACUUCAAGGAACGUAGGGUUAGGAAAGUAUGGAUAAAACAAGCACAUUCCAUCUAUGACAGAACAUAAAUAAUGGAAAACAUGGGCAUGAGCCAGUGGGGUGGUGAGAACUGGGAGCAUUUCCUAAUUUCCCUUGCAAGCAGGUUGGGACCAUGUGACCAGCUUUGGCCAAUUGACGAACUAUGAAUGGAAGACAUAGGAGUCAUUUUUAGGUGGAAGCAGUUGUCCUUUCAUCUGCUGUCUUCCCCUGCCACAGUGACUAGAUGGAGGACAACCUUGUUCUCUGAAGUCCAAACUGGACUUUGCGUAAGCUAAACAAAUUUUCGUGCUGCAAAACUCCUAAGAAGGCUGUGUGUGGUGGCCCAUGUCUGUAAUCCCAGCAGUUUGGGAGGCUGAGGUGGGUAGAUCACCUGGGGUCAGGAGAAACCCUGUCUCUACUAAACCUGUCUCUACUAAAAAUACAAUAAUUAGCUGGGCGCGGUAGCGGGCAUCUGUAAUCCCAGCUACUGAGGAGGCUGAGGCAGGAGAAUCGCUUGAACCCGGGAAGCGGCGGUUGUAGUGAGCCGAAAUCGCGCCAUUGCACUCCAGCCUGGGUGACAUGAGCAAAACUCAGUCUCAAAACAAAAAACAAAAAGCGAAAAAGAACUCCUAAGAAAUCUAGGCCUGCUUAAUAUCACAGCAUUGGUUAGCCAAACUAAUACAGAUGGGUAGGAUUACAUAAUGAGGAGUGACGCCAAAAUCCAGAGAGAUGUAAUUAAGAAGGCUCAUUCACAGACAAGAAUUUUGAUGAACCCAGGAGCACUGAGCUCAUAAAAAGUAGUGCUUAAGCAACUCAUGAAACCAGUGGCGGGUUUUAACUGAAGUUGAAUUAUCUCAUACUGAGAUAUUGUUUGGAAACAGGGCAUGUACAUUUAUUACUGAUGGAAAACAGAAUCAAUACUCUGGCUGAAUAAUGCAUUAAGCAGUCUGAGUGAGUCCCUGAGUCAUGGGCACCCUAACAGAUUAGCUUGGUUUAGAGAUCGUAUCCUCUGGGUUCUGAAUCUUCAACCAUUAGGUUGAAGAAUAAAAUUACUAUUAAUGCAUUAAUUUAGUAGGCACUUGGAGAGACAGGAGAAGUGGGAGUAGAAUUUUGGCCCUUGAAGAACUUGUGGGCGGGGAAGGAAGAUUGCAAGCACUGUACAGAGUGAGGAAAGAAGGCAACUGAGGAGUGAUCAGUUUGGGCAGUGGCAGGUCAGAGGAGGCUUUCUGAGACCUGAGAGCUGGGUCCCAGAGGAAGCAAGAGACUGGUAAAGAGGAGGUAGACAGGUCAUCCCACUGAAGUGAGCAAAGGGCUGAAUGGUCUGAGUUGCUGAUGAAGAAAACUCAUGAAGAGUUUCUGUAAAAGCAUUCCCAAAUGUCCUCAUCAAAGGGAAGGGAGUAGAUCUAAGGGAGGGAAGAGUGGCAAACUCCCCCAACAUUUUCCUUUAUUAGUCGUUCCGUGUUGACCAAGGGCUCUUAUGAAACAUGACAUGUGGUUGGCCAUGGCUAUGCUGCACUCUGAAGAGUGGCCAUCCUGCCCUUUAGAUUUGAGCCUUUUUUCUUCCUCUGCAUUGGUCAUGCAUCAGGCUGUUAUUGUCGAGGACAAUCACAAAAUUACUCCAUUAGGCCAACUACACAUCUUAACCAAGCCAAAAAGAUGGCCUUACCAACAAACUGGGUUGCUGUCUGGUGCUGUGACCCCAUGAGCAUUAGUUUCUUCAUAUGUAAAGUGAGAAUUAAAUUAAAUGAGAUAAUUUUUAUAAUACAAUUAGUAUUUAAUUGGCCUUUGGUAGAUUCUUAAUCAUCAGUAACAUUAUUAUUACCAAUCUAUGGUUUUUAUCACUAAAUCAGAAUGCAUUUGUGAUUAUAUAAAAAGCUCUUUUGGUGGAUGCUAAAAAAUGAAAACUGACUUUGUUUUAAACUAUUUCAGAUCAUGUUUAUUUGCCCUGUUUGAAAUCCAAAGCUCCAAAUGGUUGAGGACAAAGUCAUUGCUAAUAUUGAGAUUGUUUUUUAACAAUUCACUUUCAUUUUUUUCUUUGCUUUCUUCUAUCAUCAAAAUAAAGAAGUUAUCCACAUUUUCCACAAAUGAGCAAUGAAUAUACAAGUUUAUGUUUAAUAAUAUUUUGGAAAUCACAGAUUUUCAAAAAUGGGCAAAACACAUCAAUUAUUGUUUUGAAAAUUCUUGGAAAUCUUCAUCUUCCUGUCUUAGUGCCUUCAGGGUGGGAGACUGUUUGGCUUUUUCACCUGUACGGGAAAGCUGCAAUUACUAUGCCUGAUUCUCUUGUUUUCUAAAAUUUCAGUUUAAUAGCAAAAUGUUUAAUUAAAAACAGAUCAAAUGUCAUUUGAACAAGUGAACAGUAUAGAAUGAGUUUUGAGAAAGUUAAACUAUAAGUUGUAACUAAUGGCUAUAUAAAAUCCCUUGUGUUUCAGGGAGGAAAACAGCACACACCAGGGCCUGUUGUGGCAGGCAAAGGGAGGAAGGGCAUUAGGACAAAUACCUAAUGCAUGUGGGGCUUAAAACCUAGAUGACGGGUUGAUAGGUGCAGCAAACCACCAUGGCACAUGUAUAGCUAUGUAACAAACCUGUACGCUCUGCACAUGUAUCCCAGAACUGAAAGU